GUCUUGGCAUCUUGAUGGA
rnacentral:siRNA from 1 species